rnacentral:rRNA from 1 species
UACAGAGGUCCCGAGCGUUGUUCGGAUUCACUGGGCGUAAAGGGUGCGUAGGUGGCAUGUUAAGUUUGAUGUGAAAGCUCAGGGCUCAACCCUGAAAUGGCAUUGAAUACUAGCGUGCUGGAGGUUUGGAGGGGGGACUGGAAUUCUCGGUGUAGCAGUGAAAUGCGUAGAUAUCGAGAGGAACACCAGUGGCGAAGGCGAGUCCCUGGACAACACCUGACACUGAGGCACGAAAGCUAGGGGAGCAAAACAGG